rnacentral:rRNA from 1 species
AUGUGGAUAAUGGUUCUGGAUCCAGGCAAAAUCAAAACGCUUGGGGGGGAUGGCAGAUUUCCACAGAGAGAAGGCCCUGAUCUAGGAAAAAGUGGGAAUAACUUCAGAAUUCCCUGUAACAAGUGCAAAGAUUUCAGACAUCAAACUAGAGACUGCAAGCUUCCUAACUGUAUCAUAUGUGGAAAAAAUUCUCACAUCACUGAAGACUGUAACUGGAUGAAACAGAUUAAGCCCCUGCCUAAAUAUGUUGGAUAUGCAGCCAGAGGUUUGGGAGUGCUCUUGGUUCAAAAUUCCAAGGAGGUGGUGAGUAGUGAGCAGAUUAACCCGAUGGGAAUUGUCACUAUUGCAUCUGAGGAGAUCGAUUAG